UCCUACGGGGGGCUGCAGUGAGGAAUCUUGCGCAAUGGGGGAAACCCUGACGCAGCAACGCCGCGUGAGUGAAGAAGGCCUUCGGGUCGUAAAGCUCUGUCAGAUGGGAAGAAAUGGAUGGGGGCUAAUAUCGUCCAUCCUUGACGGUACCAUCAGAGGAAGCACCGGCUAACUCCGUGCCAGCAGCCGCGGUAAUACGGGGGGUGCAAGCGUUGUUCGGAAUCAUUGGGCGUAAAGCGCGCGCAGGCGGCUUGGUAAGUCAGAUGUGAAAGCCCUGGGCUUAACCCAGGAAGUGCAUUUGAUACUGCCUCGCUAGAGUACGGGAGAGGAAAGUGGAAUUCCUGGUGUAGAGGUGAAAUUCGUAGAUAUCAGGAGGAACACCGGUGGCGAAGGCGACUUUCUGGCCCGAUACUGACGCUCAGGCGCGAAAGCGUGGGGAGCAAACAGGAUUAGAUACCCGAGUAGUC
rnacentral:rRNA from 1 species